rnacentral:misc_RNA from 1 species
AAUAAGUUUGUUAAUCAAUAUAAUAUCAUGGUUAGAGAAUGACUGGGAUAGCCUCCCCCAUCCUUGCCCCCGUGCCCGUAUGGGGAAGAGGCUAGCUCUUUGUGGCAGGGAAUCCCAUUAAUUGCCUAUGGAAAAUGAAGUGGUUUUAGAUUUGUGUCAGGACCUGACCCAAAACCAGUCCAAAUGCCUUUUGAAAAUAGAAAAUGCAGCAAACAGGAGGUUGGCGGGGAAGGGAAAAAUGUACAACCAGCUAUUGCCAAACGAAACAUUUUUUUGACCAAGAGUUUUGACAUGUUUGCGCCAACUCCUUUAUAAGUGAUGAGAGUUGUUUUAAAUAAUUGGCGAUAAAUCAGGGAUAUGAUAGGAAGAGGGCUAUGCUUACAACCUAAAGCCCAAAGUUCCACUGAAUGAACUUGAGUGUUUUGCACAUCGUCCCUCUUUGGUCCCAAGGUUUCUUUCUUUUAUUAAAAAAAAGGAGGUGGUUGUAUGGAUAUAAAUGAACAAAUAUGACCAAUUGCAUUUCUGACAAAUAUGUUUCGAUAACCAUAAUUCUAAUAAUAGCCUCA